GGCGGCGAGACUGUCGCCAUCGUUGGGCCGAACGGCGCCGGCAAGUCGACGCUGCUGCGCCUGUUGUCCGGCGAUCUUCGCUGCACCGGCGGCGGUGUCCGUCUCAAGGGCCGCGACCUCGCGUCGUUUUCUUCGCGCGAUCUUGCGAACCACCGCGUCAUGCUGUCCCAGCAUGUCAAUGUGUCCUUCCCGUUCACGGUCGAGGAAAUCGUCGCCAUGGGCGCGGGUGAUCG
rnacentral:misc_RNA from 1 species